rnacentral:misc_RNA from 1 species
ACACGCCCGCCCGAUUUCCGGGGGCGGGGCCCUAUCGCCUCUGUAAGCACUCGUGGCCAAGGAGGCGGUUUGGGCCGUGCCCCUCGUCGCCCCCUCUUCGGCAGCGGCCCCCCAUCCUCCAUUCGCUGCCCCUCGUAGCAGGGGGUGGUGGUGAGGCUGGGGUGGUGCAGCACGGUCGAGGAGGGCGCGCGGCGGCCCAUUUCACCGUCGUCGUUGGAUUUGACAGACUGAGCCCCACGCGUCGUGACCCAAGCGGCCGCCUCGGGGGCGUGCAUGAAAGGGGGGGGCGAGUGGCAGCGUCGCUUGAAGGCGACGUUGUCCGGCUCCCCUCCCCGCACGUCUUGGGGACGCCCUUAGGCUGCGAUUCGAACAAAGGAGAGUA